rnacentral:rRNA from 1 species
AACGAACGCUGGCGGCGUGCCUAAUACAUGCAAGUCGAGCGAAGGUUUUCUGGUACUUGCCCUUGACGAACUUAGCGGCGCACGGGUGAGAAACACGUAACGGACCUGACUCUUUGACUGGGGCUAAUGUAGGAAAAGAUAGCUAGUUACGGCUAACGACCUUAACUGCAAGGCUGAUGUUUAUAAGUUGGUGUUGGUAUCAAUAUGCGAUUGCUUUGCGGUGCAUUAGCUAGGUGGUGGGGUAAAGGCGUACCAAGGCGACGAUGCGUAGCCGACGUGAGAGGAUGAUCGGCCACACUGGAACUGAGACACGGCCCAGACUCCUACGGGAGGCAGCAGUGGGGAAUAUUCGGCAAUGGGCGAAAGCCUGACGGAGCAACGCCGCGUGAGUGAAGAAGGAUUUCGGGUCGUAAAGCCCUGUUGUUGGGAAAGAAAGGUUGUAGGUUAACUACACGCUGUAGUGACGGUACCUAAACAGUAAGCAACGGCUAACUUCGUG